rnacentral:lncRNA from 1 species
GUUUGAGAAAAAAUAUUAUUGAGAUCUUCAAGAAGAUGUCAUGCAAUUCUGAUACAGAAAGGGCAGCAGCAGCAUCUGCAUCGCAAUCUUUAUCUUCUCCACUUCUCACAUCCCAAGAUCACCAAUCUGCUGCAUCACCAGCAGCAGAAGUUGCAGAACCCCCAGUCUUCGAUUCAUCGUCUUCCAUCGUCACCAACUCUGAAGACAACCCAUCACCACCAUCGACUGAGCUCGAAAUCCCAAUUGGUUGGCCUCCCGAUGGCAAGCUCAGCCUCAACUGGAUACGAAACCUCAUGUCCGUUUUCGAUUGGGCUUCUAGAAAUAUCAAGCCCACUCAAUUGCCAGACGUAUUUCCCGUCGAGGUUUUUGAUAGCUUGGUUCUCUGUGCUUCCAAGAUCCUCCACAAAGAGCCCAAUUGUGUCGCCAUUGACAACUUAGGCUCUGAAUCCACAGUCGUCGUGGUAGGAGACCUUCACGGUCAGUUGCACGACCUUGUUUUCCUCCUCCACGAUGCUGGGUUUCCGUCAGAAAAUCGAUUCUUUGUCUUCAAUGGCGAUUACGUUGACAGAGGUGCUUGGGGUCUCGAAAGUUUCUUAAUUUUAUUGGCUUGGAAAGUGUUCUUUCCAAGAAAUGUUUAUCUCUUGAGAGGAAAUCACGAAUCCAAGUAUUGCACUUCUGUUUAUGGUUUUGAGAAGGAAGUGCUUACAAAAUAUAGUGAUAGAGGCAAGCAUGUGUACCGGAAAUGUCUUGGGUGCUUUGAAGGUCUUCCUUUGGCUUCCAUCGUUGGGAAACAUGUGUACACUGCACAUGGAGGUAUAUUUCGCCAUAUCCCUGCGACCCCCAAGAGAUCAAAGGGAAAGAAGAAUCGUAAGAUAGCUUUCAGUCCUGAACCAAGUUCAUUAUCUAUUGGCUCUUUUGAAGAACUAAACAAGGCGCGAAGAUCAGUUCUUGAUCCUCCAUGGGAAGGUUCCAACUUGAUUCCCGGUGACGUGCUCUGGUCGGAUCCCUCCAUGACUCCCGGCCUUUCUCCAAAUAAAGAGAGAGGCAUUGGUCUACUUUGGGGUCCUGACUGCACUGAUAACUUUCUGAAGAAAUUUCAACUGAAGGUAAUAUCAAGAUUUGGAAUUUACAUUUCUUAUCAUUGUUAAUGUUUCGGCAAUUGAAUGAUACUUUACUUGCACAUUUACUUGUUGAUAUUUAAAAAUAUAGCAUUCCAUUGAUAAUGUAAUGUGACUGCUGUAACUGGUGUGCUCUAAUUGAAACCUAGAAACAAACCACUUUUUGAUUUCCGGAACAAUACCAUUGAAUAAUUGUUCUUAUUUAGUGUUCCAAGUGCAGUGAUGGUUGGGUUGGAUAGCAAUUAGCAGAUAAGUAAUUUUCCAAUUAUGACUUUGAAUUUACCAUUAAUGUUUACAAUUUUGGUGAAUCAUUCAAUUUAACUCUGACGGAUGAACAAUCCUUAACGUAGUGUUUACUACCUAUAUACCAACUACCAAGGUGGUUAGUGAAGAUAAUAUAGGCUGGACGGUCAACUUCCAAGUUCCAACCCUAAUACAAUGUUGAUGACAAAGUUGUUACCACCGGGUCUUUUCAUAUGUUCUAGUUACAUGUAUGACAAUUAAAGCUUACUUAUGAUGGAUUUUAGCAUGCAGGUGCUUUUGGGUUUGUUAUUUUGAUAGUUAUUAACCACCUUGAUCUUGGCUCAAUAAGUAGAUGGUGUGUGAGGUUCGUCUUUGGUUAAAAUCUUAGCAAUUAAGGAAAAAUCUGUCCAAUUUUCUAUACUCUUUACAAAUGACUAGCAGCUGUAUUGGUUCUAAACUGCAGAGGGGUUAUUGAAUUUUGUUUUUGUCACACUAUGCAUGAGAUGAUUUCUUUCUACUCUCGUAUUACUUUACUUCUGUAUGUUGUAUUUGCACAACCAGCAAUCACAAAUGAGAUGCAAUACUAAAAUUUGGGUUAUUCCAUAUUGUUAAAACCACAGUUGAUUAUCAGAUCACAUGAAGGCCCUGAUGCACGGGAAAAGAGGCCAGGUCUUGGUGGAAUGGAUGAAGGGUACACCAUUGAUCACAUUGUGGAGUCAGGAAAGCUCAUCACUUUGUUUAGUGCUCCAGACUACCCACAAUUUCAGGUUUGUGCAGGAUCCUUUGAGCGAAUUCCUUGUAUAAAUUUAAGAAACUGUUAACACUUUUUCUUGUACACUACACUUUGAAUGCAUCUUUCCUUCUGGCUAUUUUUGUCAAUGAAGUCGUCAAUAUGUUGGGAGGUUUGAGUUCCUUUUUGUUUAAUAUGAAUUGAUAACUUAAUUUUUUGAACACAAACCUUAGGCUCCCAAUUGAUAAUUGAACUUUCUGCUGUGAAACAUUUCGUUCAAAAUGGGGCUUUUGUGUAUGUCAUGCAGCAUGUGGAACGUGUUUUUGUGUAUCAGAACUUAUGGCUAUUGAAUGUUUGUAGAUAUUCCAUCUCCAUUGAGUUGUGUGAUCCUUCCUUAACUCCGGAUUAAGCCUUCAAGUUUGUAGGAUUUGGCUUUCAUUUCCAUGGGACAUUAGAACCUUAAUUACAUAAUAGGCUGUUAUGUUGUUUUGCAUUAUGAUCACCAGGUGAUCAUUAUGUUUGUCUUAUCUUUUCUAAGAAUAGGUGGGAAGCUGUUAGAGUGAAACUCUUGACCUUUUAUUUACAUAUAAGGUACGAUAAUUAGUGCUUAACAAAAAAUUGAAAUAACAAUGACAACCAAGUCAAGUGCUAGUCUUAUGCACAGUAGAUCAACAGUAAUUGAUCACAAAGAAUGUAGCUAAAAGCUAAACCCUGGUGCUGAAGGACUUCCAACCUAAACCAAUCUACAUUUGGUUGAUAUUAUGACGUUGUUUAUGUAACUUUUCAUAUUCUGUAUAAAUUAACAUUGUAUUUCUGGGUAAAUCAACUACAGAGGUUUAGCAUUUUCUAGGUUUAUAUCGGUUCUUGCAUCAUCUUUUAAUAUCAUUUUGCCUUCCAUGCAGGGUACAGAGGAGAGGUACAGAAAUAAAGGGGCUUACAUUGUUUUGGGACCCCCAAAUUUCGAUAAUCCUGUAUUUCAUAGUUUUGAAGCAAUUACUCCAAGACCAAAGGUAUUUGUUAUUACUGAUCUAUGAUUCUGUAAACCGAUGAUAAGUUUGGUUUCAUGUUGGAGCCAAUGUUUCUGUUAAAAGUAUUGUCCUACUCACUUGGAGUUUCCAUUGCAGGCGAAUGCCUUUUACAAUUUUGAAGAAGUGAUUGAUUCUGAUGAAGAGUUGGACUUGGCAUCAAUGGUGACUAGUCCGUGAAGGUCCAUUGUCGCUAAUUUUAGGAUUUGAAUCGCCAAUUUUACAACCUGUUCAUGAUUUUGUUGUUUUUAACGGCAUUUUCUUUUGCCUUGCUAAACACCCUUUCAAGAUGGGGUCGUUUCAUUGUAAUCAUUAUUAUUUUUUGGCUGUUACAUUUAUAAGUCUAUUACUUUUAUUCAUCAAUCACCAAUGAAACAUAAGAAGAUAGCUUUUUGUUAAGGGGAUUGUUUAACUGUUGUUAAGUGUGUUUAGUCUUUCACUCGAGGUCUUGUGUUUCGACCCUCCCUCACUUAUUAGAAAGAAGACAACUUUCAGUUGGACAUGACGGAUCUUUAUAUUUGAAACUAUUUUCGUAUAUUAGGUCAGAAAUGUGUGACUAGUGCUGUAAUUCGUUGAAAUGUGUG